rnacentral:rRNA from 1 species
UACCGAGGUCUCAAGCGUUGUUCGGAUUCAUUGGGCGUAAAGGGUGCGUUGGCGGCGCGGUAAGUCGGGUGUGAAAUCUCGGGGCUUAACUCCGAAACUGCAUUCGAUACUGCCGUGCUUGAGGACUGGAAAGGAGACUGGAAUUUACGGUGUAGCGGUGAAAUGCGUAGAUAUCGUAAGGAAGACCAGUGGCGAAGGCGGGUCUCUGGACAGUUCCUGACGCUGAGGCACGAAGGUCAGGGGAGCAAACGGG